AUUGAACGCUGGCGGCAUGCCUAACACAUGCAAGUCGAGCGAGUGGCGGACGGGUGAGUAAUGUAUGGGAACGUGCCCGAUAGAGGGGGAUAACCACUGGAAAGGGUGGCUAAUACCGCAUACUAUUGGAGCAGCCCAUAUGUGAUUAGCUAGUAGGUGGGGUAAAGGCUUACCUAGGCGACGAUCACUAGCUGGUCUGAGAGGAUGAUCAGCCACACUGGGACUGAGACACGGCCCAGACUCCUACGGGAGGCAGCAGUGGGGAAUGUUGCACAAUGGGCGCAAGCCUGACCGAGCCACGCCGCGUGAGUGAAGAAGGUUUUCGGGUUGUAAAACUCUUUUGUUAGAGAAGCGGUACCUAACCAGUAAGCCACGGCUAACUACGUGCCAGCAGCCGCGGUAAUUC
rnacentral:rRNA from 1 species